rnacentral:rRNA from 1 species
UACGUAGGGCGCGAGCGUUGUCCGGAUUUAUUGGGCGUAAAGAGCUCGUAGGCGGCUUGUCGCGUCGUCCGUGAAAACCUGGGGCUCAACUCUGGGCGUGCGGUCGAUACGGGCAUCACUUGAGUUCGGCAGGGGAGACUGGAAUUCCUGGUGUAGCGGUGAAAUGCGCAGAUAUCAGGAGGAACACCGAUGGCGAAGGCAGAUCUCUGGGCCGUAACUGACGCUGAGGAGCGAAAGCAUGGGGAGCGAACAGG